CGAUGGGCUGCGCCCAUCGCUGAUUUAUAACGCCGCUUCGCGGCU
rnacentral:sRNA from 1 species